AAUUCGACGCAACGCGAAGAACCUUACCAGGGCUUGACAUCCCCUGACCGCGUAUGAAAGUACGUUUUCACCCUCGGGUGACAGGGAGACAGGUGGUGCAUGGUUGUCGUCAGCUCGUGUCGUGAGAUGUUGGGUUAAGUCCCGCAACGAGCGCAACCCCUACGUUUAGUUGCUAACGCGUGAAGGCGAGCACUCUAGACGAACUGCCGUUGACAAAACGGAGGAAGGUGGGAUGACGUCAAAUCAUCAUGCCCCUUAUGUUCUGGGCUACACACGUGCUACAAUGGCCGGUACAGACGGACGCAAAGCCGCGAGGUGGAGCAAAUCCUAAAAAGCCGGUCUCAGUUCGGAUUGCAGGCUGCAAUUCGCCUGCAUGAAGUCGGAAUCGCUAGUAAUCGCAGGUCAGCAUACUCGCGGUCGAAUACGUUCCCGGGCCUU
rnacentral:rRNA from 1 species